rnacentral:rRNA from 1 species
AAGAACGGCUAACCUAAGGAAUAAGCAUCGGCUGGAACUCCGUGCCACGCAGGCCCACGGUAAUACGGAGGAUCGCCAAGCUGCUAUCUCGGAACUUACUUGGGGCGUAAAGCGUGCUGUAGGUUGCUUCUUUAAAGGUCUACUGUUAAAUGUUAAGGCUUAACGCUUAGCAAGAUGCGGUAUGAAACUAAAAAGCUUGAGUUUAGUAGAGGUAGACGGGAAUUCUCGGUGUAGUGGUGAAAUGCGUAGAGAUCGAGAAGAACACCAGUUGCGAAAGCGCUUCUGCUGGGCUAAUACUGACACUGAGAGACGUAAAGCUAGGGGAGCAAAUAGGAUUAGAUACCCUAGUAGUCCUAGCUGUAAACGAUGGAUACUAAGUGUUGGACUUGAAAAUAGUUCAGUGCUGUAGCUAACGCGUUAAGUAUCCCGCCUGGGAAGUAUGCUCGCCAAGAGUGAAACUCAAAUGAAUUGACG